GAUGAACGCUGGCGGCGUGCUUAACACAUGCAAGUCGAACGGGAAACUUUUCAUUGAAGCUUCGGCAGAUUUGGUCUGUUUCUAGUGGCGGACGGGUGAGUAACGCGUGGGUAACCUGCCUUAUACAGGGGGAUAACAACCAGAAAUGGUUGCUAAUACCGCAUAAGCGCACAGGACCGCAUGGUCCGGUGUGAAAAACUCCGGUGGUAUAAGAUGGACCCGCGUUGGAUUAGCUAGUUGGCAGGGUAACGGCCUACCAAGGCGACGAUCCAUAGCCGGCCUGAGAGGGUGAACGGCCACAUUGGGACUGAGACACGGCCCAGACUCCUACGGGAGGCAGCAGUGGGGAAUAUUGCACAAUGGGGGAAACCCUGAUGCAGCGACGCCGCGUGAAGGAAGAAGUAUCUCGGUAUGUAAACUUCUAUCAGUAGGGAAGAUAGUGACGGUACCUGACUAAG
rnacentral:rRNA from 1 species